rnacentral:rRNA from 1 species
UACAGAGGGGGCAAGCGUUAUUCGGAAUUAUUGGGCGUAAAGGGCGCGUAGGCGGCCGCCUAAGUCAGACGUGAAAUCCCCAGGCUUAACUUGGGAACUGCGUCUGAUACUGGGUGGCUUGAGUUCGGGAGAGGAAUGUGGAAUUCCAGGUGUAGCGGUGAAAUGCGUAGAUAUCUGGAGGAACACCGGUGGCGAAGGCGGCAUUCUGGACCGAAACUGACGCUGAGGCGCGAAAGCCAGGGGAGCAAACGGG